rnacentral:rRNA from 1 species
UAGGGAAUCUUCCACAAUGGACGCAAGUCUGAUGGAGCAACGCCGCGUGAGUGAAGAAGGUCUUCGGAUCGUAAAGCUCUGUUGUUGGUGAAGAAGGAUAGAGGCAGUAACUGGUCUUUAUUUGACGGUAAUCAACCAGAAAGUCACGGCUAACUACGUGCCAGCAGCCGCGGUAAUACGUAGGUGGCAAGCGUUGUCCGGAUUUAUUGGGCGUAAAGCGAGCGCAGGCGGAAUGAUAAGUCUGAUGUGAAAGCCCACGGCUCAACCGUGGAACUGCAUCGGAAACUGUCAUUCUUGAGUGCAGAAGAGGAGAGUGGAACUCCAUGUGUAGCGGUGGAAUGCGUAGAUAUAUGGAAGAACACCAGUGGCGAAGGCGGCUCUCUGGUCUGCAACUGACGCUGAGGCUCGAAAGCAUGGGUAGCGAACAGGAUUAGAUACCCUGGUAGUCCAUGCCGUAAACGAUGAGCGCUAGGUGUUGGGGCACCUUCCGGUCCUCAGUGCCGCAGCAAACGCAUUAAGCGCUCCGCCUGGGGAGUACGACCGCAAGGUUGAAAC